rnacentral:piRNA from 1 species
UCUAAGCAAAGUGGCCACAUCUCACUGU